rnacentral:rRNA from 1 species
GAUGAACGCUGGCGGCGUGCUCAACACAUGCAAGUCGAACGAUAAAGCCCAGCUUGCUGGGUGGAUUAGUAGCGAACGGGUGAGUAACACGUGAGUAACCUGCCCUUGACUCUGGGAUAAGCCCGGGAAACUGGGUCUAAUACCGGAUAGGAGCGCCUGUCGCAUGACGGGUGUUGGAAAGAUUUUUCGGUCAUGGAUGGACUCGCGGCCUAUCAGCUUGUUGGUGAGGUAAUGGCUCACCAAGGCGACGACGGGUAGCCGGCCUGAGAGGGUGACCGGCCACACUGGGACUGAGACACGGCCCAGACUCCUACGGGAGGCAGCAGUGGGGAAUAUUGCACAAUGGGCGGAAGCCUGAUGCAGCGACGCCGCGUGAGGGAUGACGGCCUUCGGGUUGUAAACCUCUUUUCAGUAGGGAAGAAAGCGAAAAGUGACGGUACCUG